AUAGAGGCCUACCAUGGUGGUAACGGGUAACGGGGUGUUAGGGCACGACACCGGAGAGGGAGCCUGAGAAACGGCUACCACAUCCAAGGAUGGCAGCAGGCGCGCAAAUUACCCAAUCCCGACACGGGGAGGUAGUGACAAUAAAUAACAAUACGGGGUUCUUUCGGAUCUCGUAAUUGGAAUGAGUACAAUUUAAAUCUCUUAACGAGGAACAAAUGGAGGGCAAGUCUGGUGCCAGCAGCCGCGGUAAUUCCAGCUCCAAUAGCGUAUAUUAAAGUUGUUGCAGUUAAAAAGCUCGUAGUUGAAUUUCGGGGUUAGUAGGUUGGUCAUGCCUCUGGUAUGUACUGGUCUCACUGAUUCCUCCUUCCUUAUGAACCGUAAUGCCAUUAAUUUGGUGUUGCGGGGAAUUUGGACUGUUACUUUGAAAAAAUUAGAGUGUUUAAAGCAAGCUAACGCUUGAAUACAUUAGCAUGGAAUAAUGAAAUAGGACGUUCGAUCUUAUUUUGUUGGUUUCUAGGAUUGACGUAAUGAUUAAUAGGGAUAGUUGGGGGCAUUAGUAUUCAAUUGUCAGAGGUGAAAUUCUUGGAUUUAUUGAAGACUAACUACUGCGAAAGCAUUUGCCAAGGAUGUUUUCAUUAAUCAAGAACGAAAGUUAGGGGAUCGAAGACGAUCAGAUACCGUCGUAGUCUUAACCAUAAACUAUGCCGACUAGGGAUCGGAUGA
rnacentral:rRNA from 1 species